rnacentral:tRNA from 1 species
CCGCCAUUAGCUCAUCAGGAAGAGCAAACGACAAACGACAAAAGGAUUGUUGGAAGGUACGGGGUUCGAGGCCUCGAUGGCGGUCCA